GAGCGGUUUCACUGAAAGCGAAUCUCAUUGCUAGUGGGCUGGACGCAAUCGGUGGUUCGGAAAUCGGUGCUGGAGACUUCGUAAGGCAAGG